GUGGUGGCUCAGUGGUAGAGCUCUUGCCUCUCAUGUGUAAGGCACUGGGUUCAAUCCUCAGCACCACA
rnacentral:tRNA from 1 species